GACAAGAGCAGGCGCGCGAGAUCAAGCCGUGCUCCGAAGGAAGGAGGCUGGCAACGAGUGUGCUCCGGCGGUGCCUGGCGAGUCGGGGGAUAACGUGUAUUUCAUCCGGCGGGGCAGCUACGCUCGCGCGUACAGUGUUUGUGUGUGUGUGUGUUUUGUGGCUCGUAGCAGUCCACAUUCCAGCGUGCGCGCCGGACACGCCGCGUCUUACAUUGUUUCGUGCCAAGAGAGGGAUACGACGACCAGAGGAUUACUACUGCGUGCAUCAGGUGGUCAGCACACUUCGGAGAGGAACACGGCGGAAACCACCGGCCGUGCUGGGACGUCAACCCCUUCUGUUUUGGCAGCUUGAUUGGCCCGUGUUUCGGUCGGGCGCGACGGUUCCAGGAAAAACGUCUCUCGCCGGGCGGCCAGCAGCCGGCAUCCGAGAGCGGCUUCCCGUGGCUGGAAAGUGUACGUGCAAGUGCUUUGGUUAGAAUAGAGUUCCGAAGCUGACGUCACAGUGAAUCCCCCCAUCUUCGGUAAUCAACGUGGGCGUCGCACCUUUAAACCAGUGGCUUCUGCGGAGAAUUCUGCAAC